GGCGUCUCCCCGGCUUCUUGCGGCGUCGGUGGCGAGCUGAGGUGGAGGCAGGCUGCGGCGGCGAGGGCGACAGCGGUGGCGGCGGCGCCAUGGCAGGGCUUGCAGCUCUAGCAUCGCCCUCAGAUGUCCUGGUACCUACAGCAGUAACGGGACAGGGGGCAUGAUGACUCCGGGAUCUGGGUCAAGUCCACGUCUUGGAGCUUGAAAGAGUCGUGAUGAUGGUUGUGGCCCCCUGGAAGAUGAACAUGGCAGGAACUGGCCGAGAGAUUUUUCUGCUGAUGGUGAAACGUCCUGGCAAUUUAUACAGUCCCAAGCCACAGAGCAUCACCCCGUGUCAUGGAGGAGGCAACAGAAAACAGAGAGGUGCCUUGCUGAUAUAGAGCACGAAUGGCAGGAGCUGGAUUCAGACCUCAGUCCAUCCAGGAUCAAAGUCCUUCCCAGGACCAAGUUGAUCUGCGAGGAAGAGGAUGAGAGAUGUGUGAGAUGCAGGUGGAGAAGCUCCAUGGCACGUGCGGGAGGCUGGCGGUGCGGUCCGAGGUCCGACCGGAGACCAGACCGGAUAUUUAAGCGUCACAUCAGACUGCAGUGACAACGUCUGCAGUGCCAGCACUACAGCAGACAUGGUGUGUACCCGCUGGAGGUGUUGCUCUCAGUUUAGUACGCCCUACGGGACUCCUGGUGUAGCCGACGUGCCCUGCCACAGUGUUCCUUGCAGCUGGCGACUGGCGGCUGUAGCUGCUUUUGCAUGUUUCCUAUUGAUUGACUAUUAAAAUGUUUCCAGUGUCAUUCCAUUAAGACAAACCUGUAAGAGCUUCCUAAAAUUGCCCUUUUUGCAUGUGUUCAAGUAUUUCUUUGGGACAGAUAUCCAAUUUGUGGGUCAUAGGGUAUACCUAGCUUUAAUUCUAAUAGAAACUUCUAAAAUGUUCUCCAAAUUCCCAUCUGAUGAAUCACCUGCCAGCAGUGUGUGAGAGCAUCCAUUUCCCCAGACCACGUCCAAGUUUUCCAUUCUUAACCAGUCUGAUGAGUGAAAAAUAGUAUGUUGCUUCAUUUCACAUUUUUCUGAAUUGCUUACACAACUGAAGUCUUCAUGUGUUUACUGUCCAUUUUUAUGUCCUCCUUUGGAUUGCUUGUGCAUAUCCUUUGCCUGUUUCUUUUCUUUUUUUUUUUUUAAGGUGAUUUUUUUGUCUUUUUGUUAUUGAUUUUUAGGAUUUCUUCAUGUAUUUGACUAUAAAUACUUUGUCAUGUAUAUUAAUGUUUUCUACACUGUGAUUUGUGUCAUUUAAUUUGGGGGGGUUUGUCUUAGAGAAAUUUUAAUUUUGAUACAAAUUUGUCAAUCUCACUUUUAUGCUAUUUUUAUAGUCUUAUUUUAAAAAGUCUUUUCUAGGAGUUCCCGUCGUGGCGCAGUGGUUAACGAAUCCGACGAGGAACCUGAGGUUGCGGGUUCGGUCCCUGCCCUUGCUCAGUGGGUUAACGAUCCGGCGUUGCCAUGAGCUCGGCUCGGAUCCAGCGUUGCUGUGGCUCUGGUGUAGGCUGGUGGCUGCAGCUCCGAUUCAACCCCUAGCCUGGGAACCUCCAUAUGCCGAGGGAGUGGCCCAAGAAAUAGCAAAAAAAAAAAAAAAAAAGUCUUUUCUAGAUCAAGAUCAUAAGUAUUUUCUAUAUUUCCUUCUCUAAAAUUUAUAGUUUCUGUAUAAAUACAUAUUUAAGCCUUUAUACUAUAUACAAAGAACAAAUUCCAAAUGCCUGAAUCUUAGGAACUAACUUUAAUCCCUCUCUGUUUCCCACAAAUGGGUAGGUAAUUGUCCCAAUACCACUUAUGGAAUAAUAUAUCAUUUCUCCACUGAUUUAAAAUCGCUGCCUCUGCCUGACACUAAAUUCCAAUGUGGGUCUAUGUCAGAGCUCUUUCUGGUCCACUGAUCUAUUUGUCUACUCCUGAGCUGGAUAAUAUGCUUUGCUAACUGCCGGGACAAAUCCCACCCUCUUUGUUGUUUUUGUAAAAUUGCCUUGGUCAUCCUUGCGUAUUUGUCCCACCACAUGAAUUUUAAAAUAGCCAGUCAACUUUCAAGAAAAAUUCUGCUAGGAUUUUAAUUGGGGUCACAUUGAGUUUAUGGAUAAGUCUGAGGAAAAUUGGCCCCUUUAUCAUGUUUGCAUCUGCCAACCAGUGCUCUUUGCUGUAUCUCUCAGUUGCGGUCAUCUUUCACGUCUUUCAGGGAAGGUGUGUGGUUUUCUCUCGUUAAAAGUCUUGCAUAUUUCUUGAUAAAUUUAUUCCUCGUUUUAUUACAGGUUUUGUUGCCAGUUGUGAAUAGGAUCUCCUCUCCCCUUAUGUUUGGCCCUUGUUUUUCCAUCCUUCGUUUCAACCUGUUCACUGAUCAGCUUGACUUGCGGACACACACGCAAAGUAAACGUUCUUCCUCCCUGGGCUCACGCACGUGAGCACAGCCAAACACUCAGAGCUGGCAUAAUUGGCUGAAAACAAAUUAGAAUCUUUUCAGAUUAUACUUUAAUUAAACAAGUAAAGCACGAAUACAUUUUCCUUUUAAAAGGAGAGCAGUAUGAAAUUAAAGUUUCCUUUGGUCACUUGAGGUCCUGGUUCCUCAACCCUCCGCAGAGGUGGCCACUGUUCAGAGUUUGAUGUAUUAAGAGUUCCUGCUGUGGUGCAGUAAGUUAACAAUCUGACUGCAGUGGCUCAGGUCACUUUGGAGACUCAGGUUCAAUCCCUCGUCCAGGAAUUUCCAUAUGCCACAGGUGCAGCCAUAAAAAAAAAAAAAAAAAAAAAAAAAGAAUUUGAUAUAUUGCCUUCCAUAGUAAAUAUAUAGAUAGUAUGGAUGGAAGUAUUUUGAAUAAAUGUCACCAUGUCAUAGGUAUUAUACUAUAUCCUGCAUUUUUUCACUUAAUCUUUGCUUUUGAGUUACACUCAUGUUAGUGAUAUAGCAGCUCUUGUUCAUGCUUUUUAGCAGCUGUAUAGGGUAGUACUUCUUCACCUGACUGUACCAAGAUUCCCCUUCUCUAACAUCCAUAGUCUGAGGGGUUCCUCCCCUUAACCCCUUGUAAUGAAGAAUGCUGCCAGGGACAUCUUGGCACCUGCUCUGGAAAUGUUUCUAUAGGGUUGGCAGUGAGAGUGGAACUCUGGCCCCUGUGGUGUCCACCGUUCCAGUUUUAGUAGUCGCAGUCCAAGUUGGCUUCUGAAGUUGCUGUGCAAUUUAAACUCCUUUCACAAGGAACUGUAAAUCUUCCUUUUUCCAAACCAUUGCCAGCUUUUAAAGUUUAUGGAUCUGAUGAAUGAAAAAAGUGGUUUCUUGAUUUCGUUUGUGUUUUCCCGGUCACAUUGUGGUCUCCUCCUGGGUCUCCUGGCCAUUUAUAUUUCCUCCCAUUGGAAUCAUCCAUGCAUCUCCUUUGUCCCCCUCUCUUCUGUGUUGUCUUUUUCUUUUUGACUUAUAGGAUUUAUUUACGUAUUUUUCAUAUGAAUUCCCUGUCUACUCUAUGCAUUGCAUGUAAUCUACCAUUCUGACCCUUGUCAUUUAACUGUAUUAUCUUUUUAUUACAGAGCUCUUAAUUUUUAUGUCAAAUUUAGAAUUAUCUUGCCAUAAGAAGGCCCUGCUUAUGUUAAGAUCACAACCAUUUUUCCUGUAUUUUUCCUGAAGCUUUCAUGAUUUUCUUUCUUGCAUAUGUAUUUUAUGUUAUUUUACUAUUCUCACAUUUAAGCCUUUACUGCAUAUGAAGCUAAUUUUUAGUGUGUUAUGGAUGCUUAAUUUUAGUAAACUUCAAAAUUGAUAACCAAUAUUUUCAGUACCAUUUAUUGGGUAAUCUGUCCUUUCUCCACUGAUUUAAAAUCGCUGCCUCUGCCUGACACUAAAUUCCAAUGUGGGUCUAUGUCAGAGCUCUUUCUGGUCCACUGAUCUAUUUGUCUACUCCUGAGCUGGAUAAUAUGCUUUGCUAACUGCCGGGACAAAUCCCACCCUCUUUGUUGUUUUUGUAAAAUUGCCUUGGUCAUCCUUGCAUAUUUGUCCCACCACAUGAAUUUUAAAAUAGCCAGUCAACUUUCAAGAAAAAUUCUGCUAGGAUUUUAAUUGGGGUCACAUUGAGUUUAUGGAUAAGUCUGAGGAAAAUUGGCCCCUUUAUCAUGUUUGCAUCUGCCAACCAGUGCUCUUUGCUGUAUCUCUCAGUUGCGGUCAUCUUUCACGUCUUUCAGGGAAGGUGUGUGGUUUUCUCUCGUUAAAAGUCUUGCAUAUUUCUUGAUAAAUUUAUUCCUCGUUUUAUUACAGGUUUUGUUGCCAGUUGUGAAUAGGAUCUCCUCUCCCCUUAUUUGUUUAUUUGACCCUUGGGGCUUUUGUUUGUUUUGUUUUUUAAGUUUCAUUGAAGUAUAGUUGAUUCACAAUGUUGUGAUAAUUUCUGCAGUACGACAGAGUGAUUCAGUUAUACAUAUACACACAUCCAUUCUUUUUCAGAUUCUUUUCUCCUAUAGAUUAUCACCAAAUAUCGUGCCCUUUGUUUUUCCAUCCUUCGUUUCAACCUGUUCACUGAUCAGCUUGACUUGCGGACACACACGCAAAGUAAACGUUCUUCCUCCCUGGGCUCACGCACGUGAGCACAGCCAAACACUCAGAGCUGGCAUAAUUGGCUGAAAACAAAUUAGAAUCUUUUCAGAUUAUACUUUAAUUAAACAAGUAAAGCAUGAAUACAUUUUCCUUUUAAAAGUAGAACAAUAUGAAUGUAACUAAAGUUUCCUUUGGCCAUCCUCUGAAGUUCUAGCUCGCCUCCCCUCCCCACAGUUUUAUGUGUCUCCUUCCAUAGAAAUGUAUCGAUGUAGAUACUUUGAAUGACUCCUCCCGUCUUAUAGAGAUUUUACUGUAAGCUGUGUUUUUUUUUUUCACUGUCUUCGAUUGCUAAGAUAUACUCAUAUUGAUACAAUAGUUCUCACCAGUUCCUUUUAAUAGCUGUGUUAUAAUCACUCCCAUGCAUGUGCCACAUUUUUUUCUUCCCUAAGAUCCAUAGAUAGUUUGUUGCAUCCUUUUCUUUCCUCCCUCAUAAGCAGGCUGCAGAAAAGCCUUAUACAUGCCUCCUCUGUAAUGUUUCUUUAGAAUAGUGUUUAAAAAGUGGAAUUGGGGGAGUUCCCAUGUGGCUGAGCAGGUUAAGGAUCUGGCAUUAUCAUUGUAGUGGCUCAAGUUGCUGCUUCCAGGAACUUCCACAUGCCGAGAGUGUGCCCUCCCCUGCAUCGAUAAGUAGAAUUUUGGCUCUCACAAGUUCCACAUUUUUGGUUUUAGACAUUACCAAAGUGUUCUCCAUGAUUUCUGUACCAUUUAAACUUCUAGCCAGAGGGUGUGCGGGGACUGCAGUCCCCACACCAUAAGCAGUUAUUUUAAAUGUUUGCCAAUCUGAUGGAUGAAAAAUUGAAUCGUUUAAAAAAAUUUAUGCAUACUUGUUUGCUAGUGAGAUUUUCAUAUGUGUAUUAGGCAUUUGUGUUUUUUAUUUUCUGAAUAAUCUGUUUAUUUUUGCUCAUUUAAAAAUUAGGUUGUUUGUCUAUCUUAAUGAUUUAUGAGUUUCCUAAUAUAACCUAGAUAUCAAUCGUGUGUGUGUGUGUGUGUGUGUGUGUGUGUGUGUGUGUGUGUGUGUGUGUGUGUGUGGCAAAUGUUUUCUUCCAGCUGGUCUAUUGCCUUCAAAUUUUGUAGGAGCUUUUGUUAGACAGAAGUUAUCAAUUUUGACAUAAUCAAAUUUAUCUGUUCCUUUGUUCUUUUUAUUUAUACAUCAUGUUUAGGCUUUUCUUACUACUAAGGUUUAAAUACAUUCUGAAUUCCUUUCUAGUAGUUUUGUUUUUAUAUGGGUCUUUAUGCAGCUGGAAUGUAUGUUUAUGAUUGAAAUGAGAUAUUAUCUAACAUUUCUCCAAACAUGUAUCACUGAUAAUUGCAACACGAAUUUGUUCUUUCUCUGCUGAUCUGAAAUCAGACUCCCUCAUAUAAUGAAUUACAGUGUCUAGGUGGGUCUGAGGCCCUUGUUCUGUUUUACCAAUCUGCGUAUUUCUCUCUGUGUCAGACUAUUUUACCGGCUAUUGCUUUAUGCCAUCUUUUGAUAUCUAGUAAGUAAAAUGCUCCAGUUCAUUGUGCUUCCUUUUCAAUUAUCUAAGCUAACUAUUAGUGUACAUCAACUCCUCCACCUGCUUGUCAAGUUCUGUGAAUUUAAAAAUUGUUUUGGAGGGUUCCCGUCGUGGCACAGCAGAAACAAAUCUGACUAGUAACCAUGAGGUUACGGGUUUGAUCCCUGGCUUCGGUCAGUGGGUUAAAGAUCCAGAGUUGCCAUGAGCUGUGGCGUAGGUCACAGAUGCGGCUCGGAUCCCAUGUUGCUGUGGCUGUGGCGUAGGCCAGCAGCUGUAGCUCCAAUUAGGCCCCUAGCCUGGGAACUUCCAUAUGCUACAAGUGCGGCCCUAAAAAGAAAAGAAAAGAAAAAGGGAGAGAUUAUUUUGGGGAAAAUUGACAUCAGUACAAUACUGAGUCUUUCCAUGGACGUGUAGAGCCCUGUACAAACUCUGAUCAUCUUGUCUGCCUUCAGCCCCACAUUAUGGUUUUCUCCCUAAAGAACCCACCCAUUUCCUCAGUGGGUUUAUUCCUGUAGUUUUUAUUGUUGUUGUGAUUGAAUUCCCUCUGCACCCCAUUUUGUUUUUCUUUUGCUUGCUACAUUGUUUUUUUCCUAAAUCUACUAAUCACUGUACUUCAUUCAUAGACACACACAAAGUAAACGUUCUUCCUCCCUGGACACAAACACGGAGCACUGCCAAACACACAGAGCUGACAUAAUUGGCUGAAAAUGAAUGGGAAUUUUUUCAAAUUAAAGUUUAAUGACACAAG